rnacentral:rRNA from 1 species
GAUGAACGCUGGCGGCGUGCCUAAUACAUGCAAGUCGAGCGAACAGAUAAGGAGCUUGCUCCUUUGAAGUUAGCGGCGGACGGGUGAGUAACACGUGGGUAACCUACCUAUAAGACUGGGAUAACUUCGGGAAACCGGAGCUAAUACCGGAUAAUAUUUAGAACCGCAUGGUUCUAAAGUGAAAGAUGGUUUUGCUAUCACUUAUAGAUGGACCCGCGCCGUAUUAGCUAGUUGGUAAGGUAACGGCUUACCAAGGCGACGAUACGUAGCCGACCUGAGAGGGUGAUCGGCCACACUGGAACUGAGACACGGUCCAGACUCCUACGGGAGGCAGCAGUAGGGAAUCUUCCGCAAUGGGCGAAAGCCUGACGGAGCAACGCCGCGUGAGUGAUGAAGGGUUUCGGCUCGUAAAACUCUGUUAUUAGGGAAGAACAAAUGUGUAAGUAACUGUGCACAUCUUGACGGUACCUAAUCAGAAAGCCACGGCUAACUACGUGCCAGCAGCCGCGGUAAUACGUAGGUGGCAAGCGUUAUCCGGAAUUAUUGGGCGUAAAGCGCGCGUAGGCGGUUUCUUAAGUCUGAUGUGAAAGCCCACGGCUCAACCGUGGAGGGUCAUUGGAAACUGGGAAACUUGAGUGCAGAAGAGGAAAGUGGAAUUCCAUGUGUAGCGGUGAAAUGCGCAGAGAUAUGGAGGAAUACCAGUGGCGAAAGGCGACUUUCUGGUCUGUAACUGACGCUGAUGUGCGAAAGCGUGGGGAUCAAACAGGAUUAGAUACCCUGGUAGUCCACGCCGUAAACGAUGAGUGCUAAGUGUUAGGGGGUUUCCGCCCCUUAGUGCUGCAGCUAACGCAUUAAGCACUCCGCCUGGGGAGUACGACCGCAAGGUUGAAACUCAAAGGAAUUGACGGGGACCCGCACAAGCGGUGGAGCAUGUGGUUUAAUUCGAAGCAACGCGAAGAACCUUACCAAAUCUUGACAUCCUUUGAAAACUCUAGAGAUAGAGCCUUCCCCUUCGGGGGACAAAGUGACAGGUGGUGCAUGGUUGUCGUCAGCUCGUGUCGUGAGAUGUUGGGUUAAGUCCCGCAACGAGCGCAACCCUUAAGCUUAGUUGCCAUCAUUAAGUUGGGCACUCUAGGUUGACUGCCGGUGACAAACCGGAGGAAGGUGGGGAUGACGUCAAAUCAUCAUGCCCCUUAUGAUUUGGGCUACACACGUGCUACAAUGGACAAUACAAAGGGCAGCUAAACCGCGAGGUCAUGCAAAUCCCAUAAAGUUGUUCUCAGUUCGGAUUGUAGUCUGCAACUCGACUACAUGAAGCUGGAAUCGCUAGUAAUCGUAGAUCAGCAUGCUACGGUGAAUACGUUCCCGGGUCU